ensembl:lncRNA
CGCGCAACGGGGUUGUGUAGUCAUACAGGAGGCCGCGCGCAGUGGAGACAGUCUAACAAAUCUUAUUUUACGAGCAAGUAAUUUAGGCAUAAAUAAUGUUUUCAGUGCAGCUUGCAUAUUUCCUGACCUACACACAUGUCAAUAAUUCAGAAAGCCUAACUGUAUGCGCGGCUACAGCAGAGGGAAAUCUCCAGGAUUGGUGAAGGCUGCAACAGCUCGGCUACGUUUAAAGCUCAGUCGCUACGGGUGCCCGGUAGCUUCACAGCGCAGACUAGAAUGCACAGAUGAACAAAAAGAGGACAAACAAGUGUAACUCAUCCACCCCCAACUUCCCCCCACAUCUCCACUAGGCUCAGGCUGAGCCCCUUUAUACUGGGAUGAACGCGGGGCCACCCGCCCAGUGAGUGUGUGUGCCUGAGGAAUGUCCUCCUCCGAAGAAAUGGGAUGAGUCUUGCUUCGUAACCACGC